GAACUGAGUUAUCAGUGGCCACAC
rnacentral:siRNA from 1 species